GCUCCCGUAGUUCAAUGGAUAGAACGCAUCGUUGCGGUCGAUGAAAUCCGGGUUCAAUUCCUGGCGGGAGCG
rnacentral:tRNA from 1 species